ACCGGCUCCUGGGGGAGGAGACAGGGCUGCCACCUUCGCAUCAGUUAGACCCCAGUAUUCGGACGGCACGUUCUUCCAGAACAACAGAGCCCAGUGAGCGCAGGGAAGGGAGACGAUCACGAAGGAGCGAGGCCCGGGGGGAUGGUGGAGCCUGGAUUAAUGGGGAUGCUACAAAUACAGCGAACACGGGAGAGGGUCCAGGGGGGACCACGGGCACCCUGAGCUGGCAGUGAGGUGCCAUCUGAGCGGUGGCCUGCCCACACCCAGCAGGACGGGCUCCCAGGGCCGAGCAGGGAAGUCCCAGACUUGUGGACACUGGGGGGCUCCCGGCCCAGAGACCCAGCUCACUGGCUGAAGGGACGCCUCAGGACCAAGUCCCGGAAGGGCUGCCGUUCCGGGAGCCACACUGAGAGGGAACCAGCUAGCCCCAUCAGGCAGCCCUGGUCCUGUCCGUCCGGCGCCCCAGUCCUGUCUGUCCAGGAGCUUUCAAACCUCAUCUCGAGCACACUCACCCAACCUGGAGUUUCUGCAAAAGGACAGUCUUUCGGUGCUCAGGAACAGACCAGCGGGACAGAAGCAGAAACACCAUAAAGAGUAAGAUUUCUGGGCUGGACGUUCCACUCUGGGGACGAGGC